AUUGAACGCUGACGGAAUGCUUUACACAUGCAAGUCGAACGGUAGAGGGGGCAACCCCUCGAGAGUGGCGAACGGGUGAGUAAUAUAUCGGAACGUGCCCAGUCGUGGGGGAUAACGUAGCGAAAGUUACGCUAAUACCGCAUACGAUCUAAGGAUGAAAGCGGGGGAUCGCAAGACCUCGCGCGAUUGGAGCGGCCGAUAUCAGAUUAGGUAGUUGGUGGGGUAAAGGCUCACCAAGCCAACGAUCUGUAGCUGGUCUGAGAGGACGACCAGCCACACUGGAACGGAGACACGGUCCAGACUCCUACGGGAGGCAGAAGUGGGGAAUUUUGGACAAUGGACGCAAGUCUGAUCCAGCCAUUCCGCGUGCAGGAUGAAGGCCCUCGGGUUGUAAACUGCUUUUGUACGGAACGAAAAGGUCUCUCUUAAUACGGGGGGCUCAUGACGGUACCGUAAGAAUAAGCACCGGCUAACUACGUGCCAGCCGCCGCCGUAA
rnacentral:rRNA from 1 species